UCUUCAGAUGUAGACGGGCGACGGAGAGCCACAAAGCUGUCAAACGCACCGAGACCUCGCCAUUUUUGUUUGUUUUCCACAAAUGCAAACCGCCACAAAAAACACCUCGGUGAACAAUCUGGCCUUACCUGCCGUGGAACCAGUCCUUGCAAGCAUCGCACUCGAUCAUAAACUGGGUCACGUCGUAAGAAUGAUUCAUCGCAAACUUACCAGGUACACUCCCUGACUCUUGAAGACCCGUGCAUGGUACCUGCCUCCCCGACCAAACGUUCGAAUGACGGGCGUGGAGAUCACUCCUCUCGGACGACUGCGGGAAACGGAAGCAAGUCCACGUUACACACACCACCUGGACAGGGAAGCCUCCUCUUCCUCGGCUGCGUCGGGUACCUGCCCACUGACCCACCACAGUGCCAGCGAUCUCCAGC